rnacentral:lncRNA from 1 species
GGGUGACCGAGGUUUUGAUGGACUCCCAGGGCUACCUGGGGAGAAGGGGCACCGGGGUGAUACUGGUUCCCAGGGCCUUCCUGGUCCCCCUGGUGAGGAUGGAGAGCGGGUAAGUAUUGUGGCCAGGGCAGGGGCCCCAUAUGGGAGAGGCAUGGAGGACGAGGCUGAUUUACUGUGUCCUCCUCCUUCAGGGAGAUGACGGGGAGAUUGGGCCUCGGGGACUGCCUGGAG